UACAGAGGGGGCAAGCGUUAUUCGGAAUCAUUGGGCGUAAAGCGCGCGUAGGUGGCCUCGUAAGUCCGCUGUGAAAGUCAAAGGCUCAACCUUUGAAAGCCGGUGGAUACUGUGGGGCUAGAGUACGGAAGAGGCGAGUGGAAUUCCUGGUGUAGCGGUGGAAUGCGCAGAUAUCAGGAGGAACACCAAUAGCGAAGGCAGCUCGCUGGGACGUUACUGACACUGAGGCGCGAAAGCGUGGGGAGCGAACAGG
rnacentral:rRNA from 1 species